AUAGAACUCCGCUCCUUUUUAUUGAAUGGAGUAAAUUCGGUUUGCCUGUAGCAUUUAGAAUAUUCACCAAACGCUUUGAAGGUGUGUCUUUAAACCUUAAGAGUCCCUGUAAUCCUUUAAACUGUUUUUUAAUGACAUGGAAUGUGUUUGCCUCUGUUGAUCUUUCAUAUUCAUGAAUUCUUUUAAACAGUUUCUAAAAUCUUUAAAAAUGUGUUUAUUUUUUCUUUGAUCUGAAUUCUUUACAUUCUGAUUGCUCUUAGCAUGAUAGAAUAUACUUUUGCGAGGUUUCCAAGUAAAUUGCUUUAUUGAUCUGAUAUAUUAAUCUAUAUUUGUCAUAAUUUUAAAUUUAAUUUCUCUUCUGAUACUCCUGUGUUUUAUGCCUUUAGAGAAACUCAGUUAAUUUGUUUUUACCAUUUCAAAAUAAGAAAUAUGUUUUGACUCAAUAGUUUUAAUGAUUUACACAGAAAAUUAUGCAUAUUUCCAAACACUCUCUACAUACUUAUGACAAUUCAAAGCAUUAUACUUUCUUAUACAAUGGAUUUGAGAUAGCCAUGUGAUAACCCUCAGAAUUUACUGCUUCCCGGUGAACAUGCCUUGAAUAAUCCCCAUUUUUGAAUACGAUGAAUUUCACUCCUGUGAUUAGGAUAUGUUACAGAUCAAAAGGGAUUUUGCAGAUAUAAUUAAGGCUUCAAAUCAAUUGGCCUUAUAGUAGAUCAUUUGGGUGGGCCUGAGCUAAUCACAUUAGUCCUUUCAAAGAAGAGUUUUCUCCAGGCAGGAAGCCGGAGAGCUAUUCAGCGAUAGACUCCAGGAGUCCUGGAAGAAAGCAAACAGUCAUGGUGUGAAUUGCCUAUGGUGGCCACAUGGUAAAGAACUGCUGCCGGCAUCUAAGAGCUGAGAGUUGACCCAAGUCAACAGCUAGAAGGGUAAUGGGGACCUCAGUCCUAGAGUUACUAGGACAUAGUCUGCCAACAACCAGUGAACUUGGAAGAGAAUCCUGAGGCAAGCUGAGAAUUGCAACUUCAGCCAACAUCUUGAUUUCAGCCCAGGAGACUGAGCAGAGAAUACAGCCACAUGUCCAGACUUAUGACCUGCAGAAUCUCUGAGGAAACUCAAAGCAAGGUGUGUCUUGGAUUGCUCAGCAUCUGCUAAAAUGUCCUUCUACGGUGCCACAUCUGUACUACAGAGGCUGGAAAAUGGUCAUCUACAUCCACAUUUCCCCCUUGACAUGAACUUUCCAUGUCUUGUCCAAGAUCUGAAUUAGGAACUGAGUUCAAUGGGAAGAGAGGAGAGACAUCUAGCACAUCUUGCGGGUGUAGAGUGACUGCACGGCAACGUAGCUGGAGUGGCAUCUGAUCAUCAGGCCACGGUUAAGGUGGUGGAACCUGGAAUCAGUAACUUCCUGACUGUAGCAGAAAUAAUAGUUCCCUGCCUGAGCCUCUUCCGGGAUAAGAUGUGCGAGUUGAACCUGGAACCUGCUGCCCCAACUCUACCAACAAUGUUUUAACACUAGAUUAUGUGAACUAAGUCCAUUUGUACUUAAAUAGCUAGAAUGUUUUCUGUUACCCAGAACUCUGAACCCUGUGUGGAAAGGACUAAUUUGCAUUAUCUCUAUAUCAUAAUAAAAGUAAAUUAAAAUUCAUAUUAGUAGAAAGAAGAUGAAGGCGUGUUUGGAAGGAAAUCUAAACAUUUGGGUCAAGUUUUGUUGUUUGGUUUUGGUAAAUUCUGAGAGGUACUAGUGGAUGAGACAGUCAUUCAACACAGAUUCAAUUGCUCUAUACUCACUGGAUUAGACAUUAAGGAAACAAUGGUAAACAAAAGCAGAAAUAGUCCUUGUCUUUGUCAUACUGUUUAAAGAGGAAUAUAUAUAUAUAGUCAUGCUGCAUAAUGGCGUUUUGGUCAACGAUGAACUGUAUAUCCGAUGGUGGUCCCAUAGAUUAGUACCAUAUAGCCCAGGUGUGUAGUAGGCUAUACCAUCUAGGUUUUAUGAGUAUCCUCUAUGAUGUUCGCACAACGAUGAAAUUGCUUAAUGAUGUAUUUUCCAGAAUGUAGUCCCGUCGGUGAGUGACGUGUGAGUAUAUAUUCAAGCCCAGAAAAUCUUAAUUCUUAGGAUCAUAGUGAAUCACACAAUUAAGUAUUAAAUUGCAAUUGUUAACUUAUGAGGACAAUUUGGUUUGUUAUGAGAAUGUUUAAUGGAAUGGUUUGACUAUUUGAGGGUCAAAGUAUUACCUUCAGAAAAAGAAUAUUAGGGUGAUACGUAAGGAUAAUUUGGAUUUACAUACAAAACAUGAGAGGAGGGGCAGACGGAAUGCCAGUCAGAGGUAACAUGUCCAAAAUCCCCACAUCGACAAAAACAUGGUAUCAUUCAGGAGGUGAAAUUAAACCAUCAUUAGAGCACAGAAAACAAGGGAACCUAGAGGAAGCUGAGACUAGAGAGAUGAGGCGAGAAAAGUCCAAGAGUGUAGGGCCAUCGUGGUCUUGAUAAUAAUUUGCACCCUUAUUUUAAGAGCAAUGAGAUCAGAAAAAUUAAGAGAGGCAUUCCCCUGUUUCUGUGUUUUAUAAUAUGAAGGGAAUAGAGUUGGUUCACAUAGUAAAUAAUUAUUAGAACGAGAUUACAAGGAAUAUUUAAUUCUAAGCACACUUGAGACUGAAUGAUGAACAGGUUCUUCACUUUUUGUCUUUAUUUGCUCCGCUCUGCCUUAACCAUCUUGUUCUUUAGUUUUGCUAUUGUUGUUUUGUUUUUUAUAUACUUUCACUAAUUGGCUUUUCCUGUCACUAGGUUCACUUCUAUAUCAUUGACAGUUGAAUACGCAUUUUUGAUUUAGGCAUUUGUUUUAUAUCUACCCUUCUACUUCCCUACACUUUUCAUUGUUUAAAUUUAUUUCUAUUUCUUAGUUUUGUCCUUAAUGAUAUUUUAAAUUUGUCUUAUGCUGAUUACUCUUUUGGCCAUAAUAAAAAAAUGAGAAUGCUGUUUUGGUUGUCUGAAGAUCAGCUGGUGGGGAAGGUUUUCAGAGAUAAAAAAUAGAUUUCCCAGAAUUCAAUAAGUGCUUAGUUAUUUUGGAACAUAAAUCAUCUUUGCAGAUGGACACAAGAAUAAUGUUGUGUUUUAGGUGUUUUAACUAGUGAUUGUGAUUUUAUGUCAUGUCCUGUAGUGGUCUCCUUGUUAUUAUGAAAUAUAGAUCCUAGUAUUUGUUUCAUUACAACUUUGUUAUACAUUUCCUGCAAGUUUUAAAACAGAUUUUAGAUUUGUGUUAAUCUCUUUAGUCAUUUGUCAAUGUAAUAGAAUAUCAGUGCUAUCUUAGGCAGAAUACAAUUUAAUGAAUCAUAUAUGAGGUUUUCUGUAUUAUUACUUCAAACAACAGUGUAGUAAA
rnacentral:lncRNA from 1 species